GUUCAGGCAUAGAAUAGCUUUCAGCUGGGCUCCAGUUCUUUGAUCUUGGAAAUCAGCUUCCCCAGGUGGCAAUUUGUCUUAAUCUCAUUCUUUUGAGAAACUAUUGAGCAGAAAGUGCACAAUAAACUCUCCUUUUGGGGUUCUGUCUUCAGUAAGUUGAAGCAGUGGGGGCAGCAGAUGUAGCCACAUUACAAGAUGGAUAGGACAUCUGCUUGCUUCUUGAAAGUGUGCAGCCUUUGCUGCUGCUGCUAGGGUGAAACAUACAUAAUAGUAAUGGAGAUCCAGGAGAUGAAAAUGAGAUGGCUCUCUUUAUUAAAAUAUAAUUCAAUAAAAGGUUUCCCUGUGGUUUUAGAUCAUUCAGUGGUGGGAGAGUUGAGAAUGGGAGAAUGAAAAACUGGGACUCAAGGGGCUGGGCUGGGGAAGAAAUUAGAGUUGUGAGCCAUGUCAACAUCCAAGGUCACCUCCACUGCGAAAACAAAAACAAGUAGCUCAGCAAAUGCACAGAAGCCAAGCCCAUUUCACUCCUCUACUGCAAAGUCCCAAAUAUCUCAUUGACUUUGGUUUCUGUCAAUCUGCUUUUUUUCCUGAAGUCAGAGCUUUUCUCGAGGCAACUUCUCUGAAUAGUUGAAAUUCUCAGAUAUACUUGUUGUAAUAUGUGGCUCUUAUUCAUAGUAGAAGUUUUUAUUUUACAUUAUGUCAUGUGUUUGUUUAUGUCAUGUAUUUCUUCUGCUUAAAGGGGAGGGUCUCAAGACAGACACCAUGACCCUCUUUCUACAAUACUGAUGAGUGAAAAAUGACUGAUAGUUAAGACAAU
rnacentral:lncRNA from 1 species